rnacentral:rRNA from 1 species
AGCUCCGGCGGCCUAGGAUAGCUCUGCGGCCUAUCAGGUUGUAGCGAGGGUAACGUCCUCGCUAGCCUACGACGGGUAUGGGUGUUGGGAGACAUCGCCCAGAGAUGGAUUCUGAGACACGAAUCCAGGCCCUACGGGGCGCAGCAGGCGCGAAAACUGCACAAUGUGGGAAACCACGAUGCGGGAAACCCAAGUGCCAGCACUAUGUGUUGGCUGUCCUCCAGUGUUCGUAACUGGGGAAGAAAGUGCUGGGUAAGACGGGUGCCAGCCGCCGCGGUAAUACCCGCAGCACAAGUGGUGGUCAUUAUUAUUGGGCCUAAAGCGUCCGUAGCAGGCUUGUUAGAUGCCUGGGUAAAUCGAUGCGCUCAACGCAUCGACUUCCGGGUAGACCGGCAAGCUCGAGACCGGGAGAGGCGUGAGCUACUCGAGGGGUAGGGGUAAAAUCCUGUAAUCCUUCGGGGAGGACCAGUGGCGAAGGCGUCACGCUAGAACGGCUCUGACUGUGAGGGACGAAGCCCUGGGGCGCAAACCGGAUUAGAUACCCGGGUAGUCCAGGGUGUAAACGCUGCAGACUUGGUGUCGGUGAUCCUACGAGGGUUGCCGGUGCCGGAGAGAAGUUGUUGAGUCUGCCGCCUGGGGAGUACGGUCGCAAGACUGAAACU